rnacentral:rRNA from 1 species
AUUGAACGCUGGCGGCAGGCCUAACACAUGCAAGUCGAACGAGUGGCGGACGGGUGAGUAAUGUCUGGGAAACGGCCUGAUGGAGGGGGAUAACUACUGGAAACGGUAGCUAAUACCGCAUACCAUCAGAUGUGCCCAGGUGGGAUUAGAUUGUUGGUGGGGUAACGGCACACCAAGGCGACGAUCCCUAGCUGGGCUGAGAGGAUGAACCGCCACACUGGAACUGAGACACGGUCCAGACUCCUACGGGAGGCAGCAGUGGGGAAUAUUGGACAAUGGGCGAAAGCCUGAUGCAGCCAUGCCGCGUGUGUGAAGAAGGCCUUCGGGUUGUAAAGUACUUUAAGCUGGGAGGCGUUACCCGCAGAAGAAGCACCGGCUAACUCCGUGCCAGCAGCCGCGGUAAUAC